rnacentral:rRNA from 1 species
AAACCGUUCAGGGGUAAACCUGAGAAACCCAAAAGAUCGAAUGGGGAGAUUCAUCGAUAACGGGGCUGGCUUCCGUUGAUGCGCGAUACCCCGAAUGGGCCUUCGUGGUUCCAAUGCGAGGGUACACCGUCUUCGGCAAAUGUUCCGGCUACGUAGUCGUGCACUUCUCCCCUGGUAGAACGUCGCGACCCGUUGCGUGUCGGUCUACGGCCCGAGUUUGUUGACUGUCGCGUCGCUUCGCGCGUACACGGCAGACGCUCGAUCGCCCGGCCGGCUGCGUGACGGUACUCUGUGAACGGUAUCGGGCCGCAACCAAUCCAUUUUUUCGAAUGUGUGUGCGUCAGGCCCGCCGCAAGCUCGGUUAGUAAUUACCCGGAGGUACGGACCUGGUGCCGGCUCCGGGCCUAGCCAGCUGUUAGCAGGCGGUGUCCUCGGACUGGCCAAGCUUUGAAUUACCGGUCAGCGACGCUACUGCUUUGGGUCCUCUCAGGACCCGUCUUGAAACACGGACCAAGGAGUCUAACAUGUGCGCGAGUCACUGGGACUUGUAAACCUAAAGGCAUAAUGAAAGUAAAAGUCGACCUUCGCGUCGACCGAGGGAGGAUGGGCCGCGUCACGAUGCGGCCUCGCACUCCCGGGGCGUCUCGUUGUCAUUGCGAUAAGAGGCGCACCCAGAGCGUACACGUUGGGACCCGAAAGAUGGUGAACUAUGCCUGGUCAGGACGAAGUCAGGGGAAACCCUGAUGGAGGUCCGUAGCGAUUCUGACGUGCAAAUCGAUCGUCGGAACUGGGUAUAGGGGCGAAAGACUAAUCGAACCAUCUAGUAGCUGGUUCCCUCCGAAGUUUCCCUCAGGAUAGCUGGCACUCGCUCGUUCCUUUAAAAUGGAACGCGUGCGAGUCUCAUCUGGUAAAGCGAAUGAUUAGAGGCCUUGGGGCCGAAACGACCUCAACCUAUUCUCAAACUUUAAAUGGGUGAGAUCUCUGGCUUGCUUGUAUCAAUAUGAAGCCAAGAGAAUAUAAAUAUAUAAUAUCCUUCAUGAAUUUGUCGGAUUUUUUUUUUAUAUAUAUGGAUCAGAGUGCCAAGUGGGCCAUUUUUGGUAAGCAGAACUGGCGCUGUGGGAUGAACCAAACGUAGAGUUAAGGCGCCUAAGUCGACGCUUAUGGGAUACCAUGAAAGGCGUUGGUUGCUUAARACAGCAGGACGGUGGCCAUGGAAGUCGGAA